CUCUGAUGUCCCUAUAAAUAAAACUCCAAGCAAUGUUUCCUGCUGUGUGCUCACUGCUCAGCACUUUGACCUUGAUACUGGAUACAGCAGGUGUGGGUUAUCCUGUAUAUUAUCCAUCAUUCUCAUGCACAUCUAGGAAAACUUGUCAGAAAGAAGAACUGCUAUCCCCCACCCCUUUCCCUGUGGCUUAAGUUAUCCAGUGUUAUGCUGACAGUUCAAACAAGUACAUAGAUCCUGCUGUACAAGACCUGGCUCAGGAGGGUACAGUAAAUAAAAUGGAGUGACUGGAAAACAAAAUUGCAGGUGAAAUUCAGUGCAAGAAAAUGUGAAGUAAAGCACAAUGGCAAAGAAAUGUUACCUUUGGCUUAAUAUUGUGUGUGUUAACAAAAAGCCCUCAAUCUCUUUCACAGGUCUGUACAGAGAACUCUGAAACAGAAAGCGAGUCUGAAGGUAAUUUCUCUCGAAGGCAUUUCAGGCACCUGCUGUUCCAGUUGGGCUCUUUUGGAAGGAAGUGCCCAGUGGGAUGAAUGCAACUUGGGAAUCAAGGCAGAAGGAGUUUGGUGCGAUUUGGAGUUUCAGCAGUGUGUGCUGAACUCACCCCUGCUGCUCAAGCUUUGGAAACAUUCACUCCUUGCAUAUUGUUCUCCUAGAACCUGUAAUCAGGGCCUCAUGGGAGCUACGACUAAGCCAUUUGCACAGCUCCAGUGUUGAGCCAGAAAUUUCCAGGCUUCCUGAGGGAAUCAGUCUCUGGAUUAGGAGAUGAAUAACUUUGGAAGUUCCCUGCAGAGAAGAGAGAAAAGCAAGAACUGAGCUAACGGUACCAGCAGAUGAGAAGGUCAUAUAAAUUAUUGCUGCUUGCAUGGCUUGUACGCUACCCCACUCGCAUGGUGUCAGUAUUCUUAAUACUUUUAUGAUCUUGGUAGAGAUUUGGGUCUGUUAUGCAAGACACUGAUCACAGGCUGGUAGAACGCAUCCUUGCUCUAAAGAGUUUGUUUUAAGUAGAGAUGAAAAAUGGUGGAAUCUUUUCCGAACUUUAAUGAAUGUGUUUUUGAAGUUGAGUCAACCAGGAGUUGUUAGAGAAAAUGUAAAGAUUCAUAGCAGAGAUUGAUUGCACCUGAACUGAGGAGAAAAAUGUGCUAUCAUUUAAGGAGCUUCCAAAAUGUUUUUUAAUUUAUACCUCUGCUAGACAGAACUGAAUAUAAUUGCAAAUACUCUCUAGGCUGUGUUUUAUUAUUUGUGACCUAUCAAACGACAAUAUAUUGCUUUUUAUACUGCUGCUCUUGUGAAGGAAUUCUGGCUGUGUGCACAGCAAUCUUAGAUCUUUGUUAUUUAAAGUGCCUUCUUUGGUGUGAUGUGUUGGAUCCUAGGGAAAUUCUGCCUGUACUCUGACUUCGGAGGGAGACUACAUGGUUCUGAAAAACAUGUUGCUUUAAAGCUCAAAAAAUCACAGUGCUCUUGCUGGAUCACACAGAGUGUGUGGGCUGAGCGUUCAAGGGAUUAGGUGGGGAUGGCACAACUGAACAAGGGAAGCUGCAGUCGUGGGUCUGCAAGCCCAAAGCUGUUAGAGACAAAGCUCCAAGGGGCCAGCAAAUCAUUUCUUGUAUAGUGACAGUUGGAAUGGUGUAUCUGUUUACACAAUGGACAGCUUUCCUGUGGUUUCAAAACUAAAUCAGUUUCUAGUUUUGCUGUAGACUAAUACUGUUCCAUCCGCUUUUUCUAUUCUCAACUGAGAGAGCUGAAGUAUCUCCC
rnacentral:lncRNA from 1 species